rnacentral:rRNA from 1 species
UACGUAGGAUGCGAGCGUUAUCCGGAUUUAUUGGGUUUAAAGGGUGCGUAGGCGGCUUAGUAAGUCAGCGGUGAAAUUUUGCAGCUUAACUGUAACAGUGCCGUUGAUACUGGGGAGCUAGGAUUUGGUUGCUGUGGGUGGAAUGUGUGGUGUAGCGGUGAAAUGCUUAGAGAUCACACAGAAUAUCGAUUGCGAAGGCAGCUCACAAAGCCAAGAUUGACGCUGAGGCACGAAAGUGUGGGGAUCAAACAGGA